CGGAUGGGCAUAAAAACUAGCCCACAGCCUUUUCCUUUUACACUCCUUUAUUUCUGCCAAAGAGCCAGCGCCUCCAUGUAAGAAGGAAAAUUAGUGCACCAGAACACUAAGAGGAGGGCAAGUGGACCUUAAGUGUCCUCUGGCAAGAGGAUCCAAGAGGCUUAGCAUUCUCUAUUUGUAGUAAGUUUAAAGAGGGGUGCACUCAGCUUGAGAAUAGAAUUUCUUGUAAAGCAUUCUAUAGCAAUGGAUAAGAGCUGGAUGAUGAUUAACAAUAGGAUAUCCAAGGAAUAUUUAAACGGAGUUGAACAAUUUCUGAAUUUUGCGUCUCAAAAGGCACAGCAGGAUGGAAGGAUCAUAUGUCCCUGUAGAAAAUGUGCGCAUUCAAAUUUUUUUGCUAUAGAUGUUGUACGAGUUCACCUAGUAUCACAUGGGAUUUGUAGGGGUUAUCAACCUUGGAUUUUUCACGGGGAAUCAUUUCGCAAAAGAUCAUCAACUGCAUCUCAUCAAGAAACAAACCACUCAUCUCAUCGAAAAACAAACCACCCAGGGUAAUUUUGGUAUUUUGAAGACUAACUUGAGUACUAAAUAGAUGUUAUUAAACUGCCGCAUUUAUUGUCAAGUGUUUUACUGUAUUUAUUAAACAAAUUGGAACUUUGAUUAUGAUAUUGACUUAGUUCGGGUGGUAGUUUUUAUUAUUUGG